rnacentral:rRNA from 1 species
UUAUUGGGCGUAAGCGCGCGCAGGUGGUUUCUUAAGUCUGAUGUGAAAGCCCACGGCUCAACCGUGGAGGGUCAUUGGAAACUGGGAGACUUGAGUGCACAAGAGGAAAGUGGAAUUCCAUGUGUAGCGGUGAAAUGCGUAGAGAUAUGGAGGAACACCAGUGGCGAAGGCGACUUUCUGGUCUGUAACUGACACUGAGGCGCGAAAGCGUGGGGAGCAAACAGGAUUAGAUACCCUGGUAGUCCACGCCGUAAACGAUGAGUGCUAAGUGUUAGAGGGUUUCCGCCCUUUAGUGCUGAAGUUAACGCAUUAAGCACUCCGCCUGGGGAGUACGGCCGCAAGGCUGAAACUCAAAGGAAUUGACGGGUGCCCGCACAAGCGGUGGAGCAUGUGGUUUAAUUCAAAGCAACUUUAUGAACCUUACCAGGUCUUGACAUCCUC